CCUACGUGGGGCAGCAGUGAGGAAUAUUGGUCAAUGGCCGGGAGUCUGAACCAGCCAAGUCGCGUGAAGGAUGAAUGUGCUAUGCAUUGUAAACUUCUUUUGUCAAGGAAUAAAACGAGGCUCGUGUGCCUUUUUGCGUGUACUUUAUGAAUAAGGAUCGGCUAACUCCGUGCCAGCAGCCGCGGUAAUACGGAGGAUCCGAGCGUUAUCCGGAUUUAUUUGGUUUAAAGGGUGCGUAGAUGGGUUGUUAAGUCCGUUGUGAAAGUUUGCGGCGUAACCGUAAUAUUGCAAUUGAUACUGGCAGUAUUGAGUGGAGUUGAGGUAGGCGGAAUGCGUGGUGUAGCGGUGAAAUGCUGAGAUAUCACGAAGAACCCCGAUUGCGAAGGCAGCUUACGAAACUGUGACUGACAUUGAUGCGCGAAAGUGUGGGUAUCAAACAGGAUGAGAUACCCCUGUAGUC
rnacentral:rRNA from 1 species